rnacentral:tRNA from 1 species
UGGUAAUUAGUUUAAUUAAAANNAAUGAUUUCGACUCAUUAGAUUAUGAUGGUAUCAUAAUUACCAA